CACGUAGGGCGCAAGCGUUGUCCGGAAUCAUUGGGCGUAAAGCGCGUGUAGGCGGCCCGGUAAGUCCGCUGUGAAAGUCGGGGGCUCAACCCUCGGAUGCCGGUGGAUACUGUCGGGCUCGAGUACGGAAGAGGCGAGUGGAAUUCCUGGUGUAGCGGUGAAAUGCGCAGAGUAUCAGGAGGAACACCAAUUGCGAAGGCAGCUCGCUGGGACGU
rnacentral:rRNA from 1 species